GAUGAACGCUGGCGGCGUGCCUAACACAUGCAAGUCGAACGAGAUGCGUAUCGGAAAGCUUCGGCCGGAAGAUGCGUUAUCUAGUGGCGGACGGGUGAGUAACACGUGGGUAACCUGCCUUAUGGAGGGGGAUAACAGAGAGAAAUCACUGCUAAUACCGCAUAAGCACACAUUGCCGCAUGGCAGAGUGUGAAAAGAUUUAUCGCCAUAAGAUGGACCCGCGUCUGAUUAGCCAGUUGGCAGGGUAAAAGCCUACCAAAGCAACGAUCAGUAGCCGAUCUGAGAGGAUGACCGGCCACAUUGGGACUGAGACACGGCCCAAACUCCUACGGGAGGCAGCAGUGGGGAAUAUUGCACAAUGGGGGAAACCCUGAUGCAGCGACGCCGCGUGAGUGAAGAAGUAUUUCGGUAUGUAAAGCUCUAUCAGCAGGGAAGAUAAUGACAGUACCUGACUAAGAAGCCCCGGCUAACUACGUGCCAGCAGCCGCGGUAAUACGUAGGGGGCAAGCGUUAUCCGGAUUUACUGGGUGUAAAGGGAGCGUAGACGGAAUGGCAAGUCUGAAGUGAAAACCCCGGGCUCAACCUGGGGACUGCUUUGGAAACUGUUGUUCUAGAGUGUUGGAGAGGUAAGUGGAAUUCCUGGUGUAGCGGUGAAAUGCGUAGAUAUCAGGAAGAACACCGGAGGCGAAGGCGGCUUACUGGACAAUAACUGACGUUGAGGCUCGAAAGCGUGGGGAUCAAACAGG
rnacentral:rRNA from 1 species